GAUGAACGCUGGCGGCGUGCCUAACACAUGCAAGUCGAACGCUCGCAAGAGAGUGGCGCACGGGUGAGUAACACGUAGCUAAUCUGCCCUCAAGACAAGGAUAACUGUAGGAAACUACUGCUAAUACUUGAUAAGCUUACGGACUGUAGAGGUCUAUAAGAAAGAUUUAUCGCUUGAGGAUGAGGCUGCGCGCCAUCAGCUAGUUGGUAAGGUAAUGGCUUACCAAGGCGACGACGGCUAGGGGACCUGAGAGGGUGACCCUCCACACUGGGACUGAGACACGGCCCAGACUCCUACGGGAGGCAGCAGUGAGGAAUAUUGCUCAAUGGGCGCAAGCCUGAAGCAGCGACGCCGCGUGGAUGAAGAAGGUCUUCGGACUGUAAAAAUCCUUUUCUGUGUGACGAGAGUGGACGGUAGCACAGGAAUAAGUCUCGGCUAACUACGUGCCAGCAGCCGCGGUAAU
rnacentral:rRNA from 1 species